GGGCUCGUUUACUCGAAUUGGU
rnacentral:miRNA from 1 species